rnacentral:ncRNA from 2 species
CUGUUUAAAAUUAUCCGAGCUCAGGGUUCGCCAGCAUUGGCAGCCCUAAGCCGCAUUCAGAGUUUCUCUGUUUGCCAGGGUUGAAUUGAAAACAAUUCAGCCUCCCUAAAUUUGGAAAGGAUAUAAUGAAAUCUCUGC